UACGUAGGGUCCGAGCGUUAAUCGGAAUUACUGGGCGUAAAGCGUGCGCAGGCGGUUUUGUAAGCCAGAUGUGAAAGCCCCGGGCUUAACCUGGGAAUGGCAUUUGGGACUGCAAGGCUGGAGUACGGCAGAGGGAGGUGGAAUUCCAGGUGUAGCAGUGAAAUGCGUAGAUAUCAGGAGGAACACCAGUGGCGAAGGCGCCGCUCUGGGCCGUGACUGACGCUGAAGAGCGAAAGCGUGGGUAGCAAACAGG
rnacentral:rRNA from 1 species